UACGAAGGGGGCUAGCGUUGCUCGGAAUUACUGGGCGUAAAGGGCGCGUAGGCGGACAGUUUAGUCAGAGGUGAAAGCCCAGGGCUCAACCUUGGAAUUGCCUUUGAUACUGGCUGUCUUGAGUUCGGGAGAGGUGAGUGGAAUGCCGAGUGUAGAGGUGAAAUUCGUAGAUAUUCGGCGGAACACCAGUGGCGAAGGCGACUCACUGGCCCGAUACUGGCGCUGAGGCGCGAAAGCGUGGGGAGCAAACAGG
rnacentral:rRNA from 1 species